rnacentral:misc_RNA from 1 species
GUUUCAUAUCCAUGCAGCCUCCUCACUGUGUCCUUUGCUGCCUUUCCGGCUUAUGUGUGGAUUUAUCUCAAAACAGUAAUUGAAUGUGAUCAUUUCUGAAAGCCAUCAAAGUUUUGUAGUAUUGUGUAUUCUGCUAUUUUUGGUAAUCAGGUAUGAGGGUAUUUUGCUAAGUGUGAUGUGAAACCUUUUGUUGGCAGUUAUAACAGAGGCU